rnacentral:hammerhead_ribozyme from 1 species
CAAUGCUGACGAGUCCCAAACAGGAUGAAACUGAUGUCCAGUGC